GCACUCUUGUUUCUCUUCAGAUCGUACAAAUCUUUCGCCUUUUACUAAAGAUUUCCGUGAAGAGGAACAACAAGAGUUAGAUUCAAUUUUUUGAUGCCCUGCAGCAGUAGGGCU
ensembl:snRNA U5 U5 spliceosomal RNA